GAAAUGCGAUAAGUAAUGUGAAUUGCAGAAUUCAGUGAAUCAUCGAAUCUUUGAACGCACCUUGCGCUCCUUGGUAUUCCUCGGAGCAUGCCUGUUUGAGUAUCAUGAAACUCUCAAAGAAAAUCUUUUGUUAAUUCAAUUGGUUUGCUUUGGACUUGGAGGUUUUUUUUUUUUUUUUGCAGAUUAAUUUCUGCUCCUCUUAAAUAUAUUAGCUGGAUCUCAGUAUAUGCUCGGUUCCACUCGGCGUGAUAAGUAAUCACUCGCUGAGGACACUUUUGUAAAAAAGGUGGCCGGGAAAUACAGAUGGAACCGCUUCGAACAGUCCAUUCACUUGGACAAUAUAAGUUUUAAGAUCUGAUCUCAAAUCAGGUAGGACUACCCGCUGAACUUAA
rnacentral:misc_RNA from 1 species